GACCCGUACAUCCAGGUAUGACCCAUACAUCCAGGUAUGACCCAUACAUCCAGGUAUGACCCGUACAUCCAGGUAUGACCCGUACACCCAGGUAUGACCCGUACAUCCAGGUAUGACCCGUACAUCCAGGUAUGACCCGUACAUCCAGGUAUGACCCGUACAUCCAGGUAUGACCCAUACACCCAGGUAUGACCCGUACAUCCAGGUAUGACCCCGUACAUCCAGGUAUGACCCGUACAUCCAGGUAUGACCCAUACACCCAGGUAUGACCCGUACAUCCAGGUAUGACCCGUACAUCCAGGUAUGACCCGUACAUCCAGGUAUGACCCCGUACACCCAGGUAUGACCCGUACAUCCAGGUAUGACCCGUACACCCAGGUAUGACCCGUACACCCAGGUAUGACCCGCACAUCCAGGUAUGACCCGUACAUCCAGGUAUGACCCGUACAUCCAGGUAUGACCCGUACACCCAGGUAUGACCCGUACACCCAGGUAUGACCCGUACACCCAGGUAUGACCCGUACAUCCAGGUAUGACCCGUACAUCCAGGUAUGACCCAUACAUCCAGGUAUGACCCGGACACCCAGGUAUGACCCGCACACCCAUGUAUGACCCGUACAUCCAGGUAUGACCCAUACAUCCAGGUAUGACCCGUACACCCAGGUAUGAUCCAUACAUCCAGGUAUGACCCGUACACCCAGGUAUGACCCGUACAUCCAGGUAUGACCCCGUACACCCAGGUAUGACCCGUACAUCCAGGUAUGACCCAUACAUCCAGGCAUGAGCCUUACUAACACUACUAUACGUCUCAUUCUGACUGUCAAUCUGUACAAAGCCGGCACCUUGAUUGUAUUUAUACACUGCUUCUAGUUUUUGAGUGGCUCAGGUUUUAUUUUACAGCAGUGGUGUCAAACUCAGUCCAGAGGGCCAAAUGUCUACAGGUUUUAGUUUUUUCCUUUCAAUUAAGAUCUAGACAACCUGCUGAGCGGAGAUCCUUAUUCAUUAGUGACCUUAAUUCAUCAAUCAAGUACAAGGGUGGAGCGAAAACCCACAGGCACUUUGCCCUCCUUGGAAUGAGUUUGACACGUGUUUUACAGACAAUAACUUCCCAGUAAACAUUUAUUCUACAUCUCUUUUAAACAUGCCCAUUGUUAAGCUUUUCUCCUUGUACACAGACACCUUCUUUGUUCCCUA